rnacentral:rRNA from 1 species
GACGUAGGGCGCGAGCGUUGUCCGGAUUUAUUGGGCGUAAAGAGCUCGUAGGCGGCUUGUCGCGUCGGCCGUGAAAACCUGCGGCUCAACUGCAGGCUGGCGGUCGAUACGGGCAGGCUGGAGUUCGGUAGGGGAGACUGGAAUUUACGGUGUAGCGGUGAAAUGCGUAGAUAUCGUAAGGAAGACCAGUGGCGAAGGCGGGUCUCUGGACAGUUCCUGACGCUGAGGCACGAAGGUCAGGGGAGCAAACGGG